rnacentral:tRNA from 1 species
AAAAAACUAGUUAAUAACAUAACAUAAAGCUGUCAGCUUCAAAUAAUCCAUUAUGGAUGUUUUUUA